rnacentral:rRNA from 1 species
AAACUUAAGAGUUUGAUCCUGGCUCAGAUUGAACGCUGGCGGCAUGCUUUACACAUGCAAGUCGAACGGCAGCACGGGUGCUUGCACCUGGUGGCGAGUGGCGGACGGGUGAGUAAUACAUCGGAACGUGUCCUGAAGUGGGGGAUAACGCAUCGAAAGAUGUGCUAAUACCGCAUAUACUCUAAGGAGGAAAGUAGGGGAUCGAAAGACCUUAUGCUUUUGGAGCGGCCGAUGUCUGAUUAGCUAGUUGGUAAGGUAAUGGCUUACCAAGGCGACGAUCAGUAGUUGGUCUGAGAGGACGACCAGCCACACUGGGACUGAGACACGGCCCAGACUCCUACGGGAGGCAGCAGCUAAGAAUAUUCCGCAAUGGACGAAAGUCUGACGGAGCGACGCCGCGUGGAUGAUGAAGGCCGGAAGGUUGUAAAGUCCUUUUGCUGGGGAAGAAUAAGUCUGGGAGGGAAUGCCCGGAUGAUGACAUGAACCGGCGAAUAAGCCCCGGCUAACUACGUGCCAGCAGCCGCGGUAACACGUAGGGGGCAAGCGUUGUUCGGAAUUACUGGGCGUAAAGGGCAUGUAGGCGGCUUUGUAAGCUUGGCGUGAAAUUCCACGGCUUAACCGUGGGAAUGCGUUGAGAACUGCGAGGCUUGAGUGACGGAGAGGGAGCUAGAAUUCCUGGUGUAGGGGUGGAAUCUGUAGAGAUCAGGAAGAAUACCAAUGGCGAAGGCAAGCUCCUGGCCGAUGACUGACGCUGAGGUGCGAAA